AUUGAACGCUGGCGGCAGGCUUAACACAUGCAAGUCGAGCGGAGCGAGGGUGCUUGCACCUUAGCUUAGCGGCGGACGGGUGAGUAAUGCUUAGGAAUCUGCCUAUUAGUGGGGGACAACAUUCCGAAAGGGAUGCUAAUACCGCAUACGCCCUACGGGGGAAAGCAGGGGAUCUUCGGACCUUGCGCUAAUAGAUGAGCCUAAGUCGGAUUAGCUAGUUGGUGGGGUAAAGGCCUACCAAGGCGACGAUCUGUAGCGGGUCUGAGAGGAUGGUCCGCCACACUGGGACUGAGACACGGCCCAGACUCCUACGGGAGGCAGCAGUGGGGAAUAUUGGACAAUGGGCGGAAGCCUGAUCCAGCCAUGCCGCGUGUGUGAAGAAGGCCUUUUGGUUGUAAAGCACUUUAAGCGAGGAGGAGGCUACUAGUAUUAAUACUACUGGAUAGUGGACGUUACUCGCAGAAUAAGCACCGGCUAACUCUGUGCCAGCCGCCACCGUAA
rnacentral:rRNA from 1 species